rnacentral:lncRNA from 1 species
UGGUCACCUACUACGUUCCAGGCCUGGGCAGCAGACCGGCCGAGAUUCUUUCCUUGCCUCGGUCUCCUGGCCAACCCGAAGCAGAUGGGCCCAGGCCAGGGUCAGUCCAUCCGCUCUGCAGAACCAGGCUCCUUGGAAUGUCCUUGGCUGACGCCCUCCUCCCCAUGGAGAAGACACCCGAGCAACUGACCUUUGGAGGCCCCUCUGCCAGGGUGGACCAACCUCAGGAUCUCCGCCUGCACGUUCCCUCCUCGCGGGGGAAGAGCUCCGGCCCUGGGCAGCACGUCUGCCUUCUAGCUCCUCCUGUCUCGCCUGACGAUGACACCUCACCCCACGGUCAGGUGGGCCGACAGUGGGCAGGGGGCGGGCAAGC